CCGAUGCAGUGAUGAUAACAUAGUUCAGCAGACUUGACCUGUGAUGAACAAGUCUUUCGCUCCUAUCUGAUGUAUCUG